rnacentral:rRNA from 1 species
CCUACGGGUGGCAGCAGUGGGGGAUAUUGCACAAUGGGCGAAACCCUGAUGCAGCGACGCCGCGUGUGGGAAGACGGUCCUCUGGAUUGUAAACCACUGUCCCCAGGGACGAAGAUGACGGUACCUGGGGAGGAAGCUCCGGCUAACCACGUGCCAGCAGCCGCGGUAAUAGGUAGGGAGCGAGCGUUGUCCGGAAUUACUGGGUGUAAAGGGAGCGUAGGCGGGACUGCAAGUUGGGGGUCAAAUCUACCGGCUCAACCGGUAGCCGCACUCAAAACUGCAGUUCUUGAGUGAAGUAGAGGCAGGCGGAAUUCCUGGUGUAGCGGUGAAAUGCGUAGAUAUUAGGAGGAACACCGGUGGCGAAGGCGGCCUGCUGGGCUUUUACUGACGCUGAGGCUCGAAAGUGUGGGGAGCAAACAGGAUUAGAUACCCCAGUAGUC